rnacentral:rRNA from 1 species
AUUGAACGCUGGCGGCAUGCCUUACACAUGCAAGUCGAACGGCAGCACGGGGCAACCUGGUGGCGAGUGGCGAACGGGUGAGUAAUGCAUCGGAACGUACCUUUCAGUGGGGGAUAACGUAGCGAAAGUUACGCUAAUACCGCAUAUUCUGUGAGCAGGAAAGCAGGGGAACGCAAGACCUUGCGCUGAUUGAGCGGCCGAUGUCAGAUUAGCUAGUUGGUGAGGUAAAGGCUCACCAAGGCGACGAUCUGUAGCGGGUCUGAGAGGAUGAUCCGCCAGACUGGAAGUGAGACACGGUCCAGACUCCUACGGGAGGCAGCAGUGGGGAAUUUUGGACAAUGGGGGCAACCCUGAUCCAGCCAUGCCGCGUGAGUGAAGAAGGCCUUCGGGUUGUAAAGCUCUUUCGGCCUGGAAGAAAUCGCACGGGCUAAUACCCUGUGUGGAUGACGGUACCGGAAUAAGAAGCACCGGCUAACUACGUGCCAGCCGCCGCUGUAAUAC